UACAGAGGGGGCAAGCGUUGUUCGGAAUUACUGGGCGUAAAGGGCGCGUAGGCGGCGUGCUAAGUCGAACGUGAAAUCCCCGGGCUCAACCCGGGAACUGCGUCCGAGACUGGCAUGCUUGAAUCCGGGAGAGGGAUGUGGAAUUCCAGGUGUAGCGGUGAAAUGCGUAGAUAUCUGGAGGAACAUCGGUGGCGAAGGCGGCAUCCUGGACCGGUAUUGACGCUGAGGCGCGAAAGCCAGGGGGAGCAAACGGG
rnacentral:rRNA from 1 species